CGGACGGGUGAGUAACGCGUGAGAAUCUGCCCUCAGGAGGGGGAUAACGGCUGGAAACGGCCGCUAAUACCCCAUAUGCCGAGAGGUGAAAUGAAAUUCGCCUGAGGAUGAGCUCGCGUCUGAUUAGCUAGUUGGUGGGGUAAGAGCCUACCAAGGCGUCGAUCAGUAGCUGGUCUGAGAGGAUGAUCAGCCACACUGGGACUGAGACACGGCCUAGACUCCUACGGGAGGCAGCAGUGGGGAAUUUUCCGCAAUGGGCGAAAGCCUGACGGAGCAACGCCGCGUGAGGGAUGAAGGCCUCUGGGCUGUAAACCUCUUUUAUCAAGGAAGAAGAUCUGACGGUACUUGAUGAAUAAGCCACGGCUAAUUCCGUGCCAGCAGCCGCGGUAAUACGGGAGUGGCAAGCGUUAUCCGGAAUUAUUGGGCGUAAAGCGUUCGCAGGCGGCCUUGUAAGUCUGUCGUCAAAGCGUGGAGCUUAACUCCAUUUAAGCGAUGGAAACUGCAAGGCUAGAGUGUGGUAGGGGCAGAGGGAAUUCCCGGUGUAGCGGUGAAAUGCGUAGAUAUCGGGAAGAACACCAGUGGCGAAGGCGCUCUGCUGGGCCAUAACUGACGCUCAUGGACGAAAGCCAGGGGAGCGAAAGGGAUUAGAUACCCCUGUAGUC
rnacentral:rRNA from 1 species